AAGACUAUAGACCUGCGGAGUACCUGCGGAAGGAUCAUUACCGAGUAUCGGGUGCUCUCGCGCUCUACUCCCACCCUGUGCUUAUCUAUAACUGUUGCUUUGGCGGGCCGGUGGGUCACCCACCGCCGGGCGGCGCCUGGAGAGCGCCCGCCAGAGGACCAAGCAAAACUCUUUGUCAACAUGGUCGCAUCUGAGCACGCGAGAAUGAACAAAACUUUUAACAAUGGAUCUCUAGAUCGG
rnacentral:misc_RNA from 1 species